CCUAUAGUACACUCUGUGCACAGUUGUAACUCCCACAAAGACCAGACUCAUCUUGGUAUUAUUAUAAAUUCAUCCUUUGUAAGCCAAACAUCCCAACUUGGAAGAUGGGCGCUCACCAGUUAAAGUUAGCUGCUAACGCUAACUGUUAGCCAGAGCGGAUGCAGAUGCUAGCAGGCUAACGUUAGCUAGCAUCUAAAUCGCGGUCAAUCUCUCGUUGCUUUCAUCCUUAAAAUAUCUGCUUUCACCAACCUCACGGGGGAUUGUUGUAGUUGCCUAUUUCAUCACUUGCUGCUUUUGUUUUUUUACAUAGUUUUUCCACUCAUUUGGGUUUGGUUAGCCGCUGGCGCAAUGUGAAAUUAUUUUUAAAUGAUUGGAAUCAGUGAAACUGAAACACCGGCGGCUCUCGGCUCAUUCGAGUGAUAACGGUGCCAACGUGCGGCGGGAGGCGCGUAUGGACCAUAAACCUUACACAAUGCUUUUUAAACCUGUGGCAUGUUGGGUCAGACGGAGAUCAAAGGAUUGUACCAUACGCAUGAAAAGACUUUAACACUCACUGGCUUGCAUGAGCUGGCCCUGCCGCCCGAACACCUGGGAGAAAGGGCUGCGGUUGCAGGUGAGCAUCUCCUCCAUGGCUGAACUCCUCUCGGAGGGGAAAGGUCCUUCCGUCUUCAGAAAGAGAAAGUGCACUGUGGGUCAGCCUCCGAGUGUGGAGAAGGUCGGCUGUUGCUCUGAAGCAAUCCUCUCCUCUCACUCUCUUGCCUUUUGAAGCCACCUCACGACCUCUUCUGCACGCGUUCCCUACCGCCUCCCCGCUGACUGCAGAUCGGUGCUGCGUCUCGCUGCCUCGGAUGCCGUCAGAGAUGCUUCUGCUCCUGAGCUGAUGGGAGAUCUGUGUUGGGGUGCUCUCAGCCUGCUCAUUAGUGCUUCAGUGUGGCGCCGCUUCAGACAGAGAGCGCAGCAAACACAGCGUGAACAAAGCAAGAGAGAGAGAGAGGGAGGGAGAGGGAGCGAUGAGAAGGAGAAGCCUGCUGCAGAGAGAAGACAGACUCUCUCCCCUGACGAAAGUGAGGAUAGAGAUGACUGUGUGUAAGUGUGUGUAUAGCCAGUUCUAACACUAGCUGCUGCUGCUACUUUCUGGCUGUGGUUUCCUCUUUCUCUCUUAUCCCCCUUCUUUUUAAUCCUAUCUGACUCCUCCGCCGUGAGUUGAUGGGCAUAUACUAUGUUGGGAAAGAUGCACAACAGAUAAGCAUGACAUCUGAUUUUGGCAGAAAACUAAUUUGUCAAGUUUUUUAGACUGCUGUCCAAUAUGUGCUGCAAGCAAAUACCAGCGUACUCUCAUUGUGUUCAUUCAGUCGCAUCCAUAUUAGAUUGGAGCUUGGAAAACACAGAGAGGACUUGCAAUUCCUUAAAAAAAAAAAGGAGCUAAACAUGCACGUAAACUGAAAACGAACUGACAACCA